rnacentral:rRNA from 1 species
AGACGUCUACAUUAGAUACCCCUGUAGUCCCAGCCGUAAACUAUGCGCGUUAGGUGUAUCGGUGACCACGAGUCACCGAGGUGCCGAAGGGAAACCGUGAAACGUGCCGCCUGGGAAGUACGGUCGCAAGGCUGAACUUAAAGGAAUUGGCGGGGAGCACCACAACCGGGUGGAGCCUUGCGGUUUAAUUGGACUCAACGCCGGGAAGCUCACCGGAUUAAGACUAGCGGAAUGAUUGCCGGGCUGAAGACUCUGCAUGACUAGCUG